rnacentral:rRNA from 1 species
UACGGAGGGGGCUAGCGUUAUCCGGAUUUACUGGGUUUAAAGGGUGUGUAGGCGGAUUAUUAAGUCAGUGGUGAAAUCCCCGGGGCUCAACCCCGGAACUGCCAUUGAUACUAUUAGUCUUGAAUACUGUGGAGGUGAGCGGAAUGUGUCAUGUAGCGGUGAAAUGCUUAGAGAUGACACAGAACACCGAUUGCGAAGGCAGCUCACUACGCAGUUAUUGACGCUGAGGCACGAAAGCGUGGGGAUCAAACAGG